rnacentral:ncRNA from 1 species
GUUCAUGUCACUGCAAGCCCUCGUAUAAUGUCGGGAAUAUGGCCUGACAGUCUCUACCGAGCGACCGAGAAUCGCUUGACUACGAGGACGUUGUGCGACAUU